GUAUCAUAUUUCAUUGACAAUUAUAAGUUAUAGAAAAAACUUCAAAUACCACCUCUGUGAUUUCGCACUUCUUCACUUUAGUACCCUGUGGUUUAAAGUGUAUCAAUUUAGUACUCCGUGGUUUUAUUUUUCUCUUUUUAUUAUCACUCUACUAAUUUUUUUAUUAAAUCAGUGAUAGAGUUAAAACUAAAAAGUGCUAAAGUGAAUAUUCGAUAAACCUAAGUGGGAUAUAUGAAGUUUUUUCUAUAUAAUUUAAUAAAAUGUUAACGGAUGAGCUAAUGAAAAGAGAAAAGUAAAAUCACAAAAUAUUAAAUUGAUAUUAUUUAAACCACAAGAUACUAAAGUAAAAAAGUGCGAAACCACAGGGUGGAUGGUAUUUGAAGUUUACCCUAAAAG
rnacentral:lncRNA from 1 species